rnacentral:rRNA from 1 species
AUGAAUCUCUUGGCUUGGAACUGUCGGGGGUUGGGAUUGACCUCGACAGUAGGCGAGCUUAGGGAUCUCAUCCGAUCCUACAAUCCUGCCGUUGUGUUUUUAUGUGAGACUCUCAAAACGGCUAGAGCUAUGGAUAGAUUGAAAUGCAGCUUGGGUUUCAAGCAUGGUGUUGCGGUAGACUGUGUGGGGAGGAGUGGUGGGCUGGCUAUGUGGUGGAGGGACGAUGUUCAGGUGACUGUCAGACCAUGGUGCCAAUACUUCAUAGAUACUAAAAUGAUUUGGCAAGGAAAAUCCUAUAGAGUCACUGGAUUCUAUGGGGAACCAAAAACGGACAACCGAAAGAAGUCAUGGGAUGCAAUUCGUUUUCUUCGUGCUUAG